CUGCAGCACAAAUUGGGGAGAGGCCAUCGCGAGCAGUUCAUAACAAUAACUGGAGCUAGGGCUACAUAUUUGGCAUGUGCAGUCUGACGCCCAACUAGCUGACAAUGAAGCAUGGUCGAUGUCUCAUUUGGAGAGGUUGCACAGAUAAGAUUUUCUAUUGUACUCUGAAUCAAGCAUCAAGUUUUAGUGAAAACUCUAAGUUCAUCAAGGGCUGCUAGAUAGGAAGCAGAGUCACCGGGCAACAAGGCUGUCAUCAUGCAAAAUCCGGAUUUGAUUGGGGCAUUUCAUUUCAGUGCAGAUUUGAUAUCAGUUAUGGAUAGAUUGAUAAUCGAGAUUCUUCGGAACCUAAGAUCAGUCCAGAGAAAGCUGUGCAGAUUUGUGAUCGAAACUUUGGUGUUGGUGUUGAUGGGGAUAUCUUUUUCUUACCUGGAAUCAAUGGCACUGACUAUACUAUGAGGAUUUUCUACUUUGAUGGUAGUGAGCCUGAGGUUCAAUUUUAUUCUUCGAUCUGAAUCGGUUUUGGAAUUUUUCUCAUCAAUUGACUCGGAUGAUUUGGCUGUUUGAAAUAGGCUCAAAAGCAAGUGUAAGAGAUUAGUCAACUUUGGAGCCAAGGAAGUUUUUGAUAUUGAGAUGAUACUAAAGCAGGCAUGACUCAUAGUAGAUUGCUCAUAAUGGAAGAGAAGGAAAUUAUGGGCAUGACGGACAUGUGUAUCAUCCCCUGAUAGAAUCCAAUAACAACAAUAGAUAACUGAUUAUGGUGUGGAGAGUGACUAUAUUGAUCGGACCACGAAAGAUGAACUUCAUAUUGAAAUCGUUAUGUUUUCAUCUUUAUGUUUAAGAAUUUCUAAUGGAGAAACUAUUACUGGGCGUGGAGAGGCAAACUUUUAGGUGUUUGUGGUGAUGUUGUGUUUGUAUGCAAGGUGAAAAAAGUGAGUUUGGUGAAAUGAUGCAUUGCAGGUUUCUUGCAAGAAGCUAUGAGAAUGCUGACUCUCCUUUCCAGAUUCAGAUAUUUCUAUCUUGGACAUUUUUUCAUCUGGCAUCCGGGAGAUAUGGUUAUUAAAUCUCGAAGAUUCUGUACUUGAGAGCUUGAUCUUGAAAUUGAAAGGGGAAAUUGACUAUUGAUUUUUCAUUUUGUGUUAUGGAGUUUAUAAAAGUAGGGAAGAAUAUGAUUUUAUCAUUUUGUGCUAUGGAGUUUCUGUAAGAUGAACAAGGUCUAAGGAUGUAUGUUUUGCCUUUAGCUAAACUAAUUCAAUGAUUGUGUUAUUGUUGUUUUCUUUCACGGUUCAUCAUUUAGAGGACAUAUAUUAUUUUGAGAAGAAAAUUUUGGAGGAAAUUGGUAUUGUCAACAAUAGAGAAACAUGUUA